UACGGAGGGUGCAAGCGUUAAUCGGAAUUACUGGGCGUAAAGCGUGCGCAGGCGGUUUGUUAAGUCCGCUGUGAAAUCCCCGAGCUCAACCUGGGAAUUGCAGUGGAUACUGGCAAGCUGGAGUAUGGUAGAGGAAGGUGGAAUUCCCGGUGUAGCGGUGAAAUGCGUAGAGAUCGGGAGGAACACCAGUGGCGAAGGCGGCCUUCUGGACCAAUACUGACGCUGAUGCACGAAAGCGUGGGGAGCAAACAGG
rnacentral:rRNA from 1 species